AGAGUUUGAUUCUGGCUCAGGAUGAACGCUAGCUACAGGCUUAACACAUGCAAGUCGAGGGGCAGCAUGAUCGAAGCUUGCUUUGAUUGAUGGCGACCGGCGCACGGGUGAGUAACGCGUAUCCAACCUUCCCUAUAGUAGAGAAUAGCCCGGCGAAAGUCGGAUUAAUGCUCUAUGUUGUAUUUAGAGGACAUCUGAAGAAUACCAAAGGUUUACCGCUAUAGGAUGGGGAUGCGUCUGAUUAGGUAGUAGGCGGGGUAACGGCCCACCUAGCCGACGAUCAGUAGGGGUUCUGAGAGGAAGGUCCCCCACAUUGGAACUGAGACACGGUCCAAACUCCUACGGGAGGCAGCAGUGAGGAAUAUUGGUCAAUGGACGGAAGUCUGAACCAGCCAAGUAGCCGUGCAGGAUGACGGCCCUAUGGGUUGUAAACUGCUUUUAUAUAGGGAUAAAGUCGGGGACGUGUCCCCGUUUGUAGGUACUAUAUGAAUAAGGACCGGCUAACUCCGUGCCAGCAGCCGC
rnacentral:rRNA from 1 species